AUUCAAUGGAUUUCAGUAUAUUAUUAACUUAUAAAAUCUCUAGUCAAAUAUAAAACUUUCUAACUUAAUUUUGAUUUCUCCUUUGGCCCAUGAGUUAUUUAGAAGUGUGGGUUCCUGAGUACUUGGGCUCUUCCAGAGAGCUUUCUAAUACUGAUUUCUAAUUUAAUUCCAUUGUUGCUAUAAAUGUCAUUUAGGUCAAGUUAUCGGAUAAUCUUCAAAUCGUUUAUAGCCUUACUUCCCUCUUCCCAUCUUCUCAGUCCAUCAAUUAUUGAGAGAAGAAUACUAAAGUCUUCAACAAUUGGAAGCACAAUAAUUUCUAUUUCCUUUGAAGUUCCAUCAGUUUUUGCUUCAUAUGUUUUGAAACAGUGUUAUUAAAUGCAUUAUCAUUUUAAAAUGUUUUGUUGAAUUGACUGUUUAUCUUGUAUUAAUAACCUCCUUUUUCCCUGUAAAUCUUCUGAGCUUUGAAAUCUAGUUUGUCUUAUAUUAAUGUAGCCAUUUCAGCUGUCUCUUGCUGAAAUGCAUACUUAUACACUUGAAAUGUAUAAAUGUACACUUGAUUAGUGAUAGCAUGGUAUUUAUUUUUACAUCAUUUUAUUUUCAGCCUAUUGAUAUUUUUGUAUUUGAAGUAUAUUUUACAUAGGCAGUAUAUAGUUGAGUCUUGCUUGUUGAUUCAGUCUCACAAUCUCUGCCUUUUAAUAUUUAGGCCAUUUACACUUAUUUUGCUUUGUCAUAUGGUUACAUUUAAAUUUACUGUACUUCUGUUUAUCUCUUCUGUUCUUUCCCCUUUUUGUAUUUCUACCUUCAUUUGGAUUAAUUGGAUAUUUUUUAUGAUUACAUUUUCUUCUCCUUUGAUGGGUUCUUAACUGUAAUUAUUUUUAGUAGUGUUUUUGGAUUUAUAGUGCACACCUUUAACUUGUCACCAUCUACCUUGAGGUGAUAAUUUUAAAUGGGCUAAAUAAUCUUAUUUUCUGCCCCUCUUCCCUCCCCUACCUUUUUACCUAAGAUUCUAACUAUGUAGGUAUUAGUCUGCCCAAAGUUUUAUCACAACUCACUGAUGCUCUGUCACCACACCCUCUUUUCCAGUCUAUGUUCUCUGCGUUUUUGGAUAGAUUCUAUGCUGCCUCCAAGGUCAUAAAUCAUUUCUUCCCGCAGCAUCGAAUCUGUGGUUUAUCCUAACCAGUGCACUUUUCAUCUCACAUGUUGUUUAAUAACAUAACUUCAUCUCUAGAAGUUUAAUAACAUAUCUUCUGUGUCUCUACUUAGCUUUUUGAACAUAUGAUAUGGUUAAUCUUUGAACAAUGUGAGGGUUAGGAGCACCAACCCCCUGUGCAGUUGGAAAUCUGCACAUAGCUUUUGACUCCCCAAAAUCUUACCAACUAAUAGCCAGCUGCUGAUUAGAAGACUUACUGAUAACAGUUGAAUAAGAUAUAUUUUGUAUAUUGCAGGAAUUAAAAAUUAUGCAGAAUGAAGACAGACCAAAAAAGAGUAUAUACUGUAUGAUCCCAAUCAUACAAUGUAAUCUAAUCUCUGGGGAUGGGAGAGAGAUAUCACUAAGGGGCAAGAAGAAACGUCUGAAGGUAACAGAUGUAUUCAUUAUCCUGAGUGCGGUAAUAGUUUCAAUGGUGUAUACAUAUGUCAAAAUAUAUCAAAUGGUUCAAGUAAAAUACAUACAGUUCAUUUUAUGUCAACUGUACCUCAAUAAAAUUGUCUUAAAAACAAAAGUAUGGUAAGAAAGAAUACGAUGGGUAAACUGAAGCUUAUUUAUUCGUAAAAAUACUUUGAUACUAUGUACCUCAUCAGGUUGUAGUCAGGACUAAAGGGGACAGAAAGAGCACCAUCUCCAACACAGAGUUGGUACUAAUCAUAUGGUACCUAGCAAUAGUACCAUAAACAUACUUACUUCAACUUUACAUUACUCCUAGGAUGUACGAGAAAUUAGUAUGAUUAACAGCCAAGAAGCCUGAGAGAAUUCUGAAAACUAGAAGCAAAGAUGAAAAGGAAGCACAACAGGUGAACAAAAAUGUACAGAAGAGAAUGAAGACAUUCUCUGCUUCAAAACUUGUCAGUUUUGCCUACUUGUGAGUGCCACUAAAGGCCUAUGAAACCCUUCCACUGUGUGACACUAAUGUUGUAUGGGGGCCUUAUAUCCAAAGUUCAACAACUGACAGUGAUUGCUCUGGACCAGGAUCUACAUCACCCCACCUCAUGCAUGCCAAAAGUAUUCUCACAGACUCACACAACUAAGAAUGAAGGUAGAGUGGUGGACUGGGAAGAACAUCAAAUUCAUAGUCUUACAAUGAUUUAUUAGAAGUAAAAAAGAAAAACUUUAAAAUAUGAUUAGAAGGUUUUAUAUGGCCAUUCCUCUAAAUCCUUUACUGUCUAAAACGAAGUGUGUGGGUAUGAUCCAAACAAUAUCAUUGUUUCGAAUGAUCAGAUUCUUAAAUACUUGAAUGUUCCUUUCUAUUAUUAAUCCCUUCCCACUAUGAAAUAUUUGCCAAUAAAAAGAUCAACAAGGAAAAGAGCCAGAAAAGAGCACAGGCUGACUUUAUAGUUAAUGAAGUAAGUACAACUGCCUACUUUACCAGGAGGAAAAGUCCAUAUAAAUUUCUCUCAACUUAUAUUCCCUUGCUGUGCACCUUGCCUCGAUGAAUUGUGUAAUAAAAGGACAGAUCUAACCUACUCUAUGCAAACACAGAAGUUACAGAUUAUAGUAAACAGACUAUUGCUAGAAUCA
rnacentral:lncRNA from 1 species